rnacentral:rRNA from 1 species
UGAGGAAUUUUCCGCAAUGGACGAAAGUCUGACGGAGCGACGCCGUGUGAACGAUGAAGUCUUUCGGGAUGUAAAGUUCUGUCAGUGGGGACGAUAUUGACUGUACCCACAGAGGAAGGCCCGGCUAACUACGUGCCAGCAGCCGCGGUAAUACGUAGGGGCCAAGCGUUGUCCGGAUUUAUUGGGCGUAAAGCGGGUGUAGGUGGCAUUAUAAGUUGGAUGUUAAAUCUCUCGGCUCAACCGAGAACCUGCAUCCAAAACUGUUUUGCUAGAGAAUUGUAGAGGAAAGCGGAACUUACGGUGUAGCGGUGAAAUGCGUAGAUAUCGUAAGGAACACCAGUGGCGAAGGCGGCUUUCUGGGCAAUUUCUGACACUGUGACUCGAAAGCCAGGGGAGCAAACGGG